rnacentral:rRNA from 1 species
AUUGAACGCUGGCAGCAGGCCUAACACAUGCAAGUCGAGCGGAUGAAGGGAGCUUGCUCCUGGAUUCAGCGGCGGACGGGUGAGUAAUGCCUAGGAAUCUGCCUGGUAGUGGGGGAUAACGUCCGGAAACGGGCGCUAAUACCGCAUACGUCCUGAGGGAGAAAGUGGGGGAUCUCGGACCUCACGCUAUCAGGUGAGCCUAGGUCGGAUUAGCUAGUUGGUGGGGUAAAGGCCUACCAAGGCGACGAUCCGUAACUGGUCUGAGAGGAUGAUCAGUCACACUGGAACUGAGACACGGUCCAGACUCCUACGGGAGGCAGCAGUGGGGAAUAUUGGACAAUGGGCGAAAGCCUGAUCCAGCCAUGCCGCGUGUGUGAAGAAGGUCUUCGGAUUGUAAAGCACUUUAAGUUGGGAGGAAGGGCAGUAAGUUAAUACCUUGCUGUUUUGACGUUACCAACAGAAUAAGCACCGGCUAACUUCGUG